rnacentral:rRNA from 1 species
GACGAAGGAUGCAAGCGUUAUCCGGAUUCAUUGGGUUUAAAGGGAGCGUAGGUGGCCUUAUAAGUCAGUGGUGAAAUCUCUGGGCUUAACCCAGAAAUUGCCAUUGAUACUGUAGGGCUUGAGUACAGUUGCUGUGGGCGGAAUAUGACAUGUAGUGGUGAAAUACAUAGAGAUGUCAUAGAACACCGAUUGCGAAGGCAGCUCACAAAACUGUAACUGACGCUGAGGCUCGAAAGUGCGGGGAUCAAACAGG